rnacentral:rRNA from 1 species
CUAGCCGUAAACGAUGGAUACUAGAUGUUGUCUGUAUCGACCCAGACAGUGUCGUAGCUAACGCGUUAAGUAUCCCGCCUGGGGAGUACGCACGCAAGUGUGAAACUCAAAGGAAUUGACGGGGGCCCGCACAAGCGGUGGAGUAUGUGGUUUAAUUCGAUGCAACGCGAAGAACCUUACCAGGGCUUGACAUGUCGCGAAUCUUCGGGAAACCGGAGAGUGCCUUCGGGAACGCGAACACAGGUGG